UAUCAUUUUCCAUAUUUGCUUCAGAUUUCUUUUUAAGAAAUCAUUACUGAUUAAGCUCAUAGAGCUAAACCCACAACGGUUCCUUACUAAAGUGUUUGCACCCAUAUGCUCUGCCAUCAGCAGUUUGAAAGAGGACCUACUUCUUCAUAUUAGGGUGCAUAAUAACAGUUUGUCACCCUACCUCAUAACACAUUAGGGGGUUUUUAAUAUCUCAACCCAAGGAAGGUAAGUUUUAGGCAUCAGUGAGAGGCAGAUAUGGAAGAUUCAGACAAGGGGACUUUCAGAAUCUCACAUAGUUGCUAACUUUUUUAAUGUUCCCAUCAUCUCUCAUGUCCACUAUAUCCAUUCCUCAUACUUUAGCCAGAGUGAUCUUAAAAACCAAAUCUAGGGCCAGCCCCAUGGCCAAGUGAUUAAAGUUCUGCAUACUCCACUUUGGUAGUCUAGGUUCUCGGUUGAGAUCCCAGGCAUGGACCUACACCACUCAUCAGCCAUGCUGUGGAGGUGUCCCACAUACAAAGUAGAGGAAGACUGACACAGAUCUUAGUCAGCACUAAUCUUCCUCAAGAGAAAAAAGAGGAAGAUUGGCAAUGGAUGUUAGCUCAGGGUGAAACUUCCUCACCGAAAAAAAAAACACCCAAAUCUAAUCAUGUCACUCUCAACUUUAAACUCUUGGGUACCUUCCCAUGGCAUUAAGGAGAAACUCCAAGCCCUUUACCUACACAGCCAACAAGGACCUCUCACCUUUCCCCUUGUCCUCGGCACUGGCCAGGCUGACCUUUCAAUUUCUUAAAGGCGCCGAGCUCCUUGCAUGUUUCUUUUACCUGAAAUUCUCUUUCCCCUGCUCUGUAGUUAGUCAGCUCUGAGUCAUCUUUUAGUUCUCAACUUAAAGUUCCUUCAGUAGAAAAAUUUUCCCUGGCCUCUCCCCACAUCUAAAUCAGGUCUCCCCAUAUAAUCUUCUUAAAUCUCUUGGUUUUUUAAAUCACAAUUUACAAGUGUAUAUUUAUUUACAUGAGUAUUUGUUUAAUGUCUAUUUCUCUUAUUUGACUGCAAGUUUCAAGAAGACAGGGACCAUGAUUAUUUUUUCUUACUUCAAAAUUUACCAGCAUAGUGCCUAUCUCUUCUAUAAUCAAUAAUUAUUUAUUGAAUAAAUGGGUGGAGGUUUCCUGUUCCAGACCUCAGGAUUUAAGGCUUUGUUUCUCAAAAUUGUAUAAUUGCCCUAAUCCUUCCUUAUUUUUCUCUACUAACUUAUAUGUAUCUGCUCUCCACUCUCCCCCUCCGCUUCCUUCCCCACACAUUUGCAUCUUUUCCUCCAUUUAGAAAAAUAAACUGAGGAUUGAUAAUAGAAAGUAUGUCUUAUGUUGAUGAUGUAUAUUCUAGUCUAUUUCUACUAAGUAUUGUAAAAUAAAUUACCAGUUGGCACAUAUGCGAAAAAAGAUUUAUUUCAAAUUUUAGAAGGAUCUCUUUUAAAGAUACCAUAAGAAGACCCCCAAGAGUUCAAGAUGACUUUAAUAAGCAAAAAUGGUCAAACUAAUAAGCCAAAUAGCUAUUUUACAAACUUGGAAUGAAGCACAACUUCUCAACUAUCAGCUUGAAGACAAUGCCAGUCCAUUAAGCAACCAUCAGGUUAAAAAAAAAUGUAAUUUUGAACAGAAUUGCAAGGAUCAUUAACUGCAACUGAACAGUCAUGUCCCAUAGGAAGUUCUUACGAAUCCUAUACACCACCUUGUCAUCUAAUAUUCAGAGAUACGUUCGGAGGUUUAAAAUUGGAUUUUGAUCCUGGAUAUAGACAUUUCUCCAGUCAUAGUUUAAAAUAAAAAUAACAAAGAGCAAAAGGUGGAGCAUCACCAAAUUGGAAUCUCAUGCUUAAAAUUAAAUACGUCAAUACUUCAAAGAACGUUGUUUUUUCAAAAACUGAUCAAUGUUUUCACAUAGAUUGUCAGCCUUCUUCAUUUGCCCUCACACAAUUCCAUCCGAUUACUCCAUGUUUCCUUUUCCUGCAAGAACUCCAGAUAUGACUUGGAUGCAACGUUAGAGCUUAUGCCUCUCUCCCUUCAAAACUGAGACAUUCUCAAGAUUGGAGUCAUUGUAAUGAGAAGGAAACAGAGGAGAGACAAAUUGUUGCCACCCGACAGCUAAAGCUACAAACAGAAAACAGAGUGCUUAAUCCAAAAAUCCAAAGUUUUGACAGGAGGAUGUUGCUGGCUGUGUUCUUUGGGGACUUUUCUUUUGUUGCCGAGAAACCUGCAAUCCCCACUCUGUUAAGAGAGAUGCUCCAGACCAAAGAAUGCCCAGGCUUCCAAUUUCCUUCUCCAUCUGGCUUCCAAACUAUUGACU
ensembl:lncRNA